rnacentral:rRNA from 1 species
UACGUAGGGUGCAAGCGUUGUCCGGAUUUAUUGGGCGUAAAGAGCUCGUAGGCGGUUUGUUACGUCGGAUGUGAAAUCCUGGAGCUUAACUCCGGGCCUGCAUUCGAUACGGGCAGACUAGAGUGUUGUAGGGGAGACUGGAACUCCUGGUGUAGCGGUGAAAUGCGCAGAUAUCAGGAAGAACACCGAUGGCGAAGGCAGGUCUCUGGGCAACUACUGACGCUGAGGAGCGAAAGCGUGGGGAGCAAACAGG